UCUGGGGAUGAGGACAGUGUGU
rnacentral:miRNA from 1 species